GCUUAACACAUGCAAGUCGAGCGGGCACUUUCGGGUGUCAGCGGCAGACGGGUGAGUAACACGUGGGAACGUACCCUUUGGUUCGGAACAACUCCGGGAAACUGGAGCUAAUACCGGAUAAGCCCUUCGGGGGAAAGAUUUAUCGCCAAAGGAUCGGCCCGCGUCUGAUUAGCUAGUUGGUGGGGUAAAAGCCCACCAAGGCGACGAUCCGUAGCUGGUCUGAGAGGACGACCAGCCACACUGGAACUGAGACACGGUCCAGACUCCUACGGGAGGCAGCAGUGGGGAAUAUUGGACAAUGGGCGAAAGCCUGAUCCAGCAAUGCCGCGUGAGUGAUGAAGGCCUUAGGGUUGUAAAGCUCUUUUACCCGGGAUGAUAAUGACAGUACCGGGAGAAUAAGCUCCGGCUAACUCCGUGCCAGCAGCCGCGGUAAUAC
rnacentral:rRNA from 1 species